UCCUGGCACCCCCACUCUCUCCUCUCUUGGUAUCUGCCCUGCUUUCUCCUGUCCUCUGGCAUCCCCAGGAGUCCCCCAGCCCUGCCCCUCACCUCUCUCUCCACAUCGCCCCGCUCGGCCGCUAGGUCCCGGAGGCUCUCGCGUAGGGCCGUGGUCUCCCUCUGAUGGGCUGUGAUGGCAUCCUCAAACUGGGCCUGGAGGGCCUUCAGCUCCUCAGUCGUGGCACUGAUGGUGGCCUGCGGGGAGAAGGGAGCCCACGGUGGCACCAGGGAGCUGGGCCCAGCAGUGGAGGGUGAGGCUGCUGGGAUGAGGAGACGUCCACGGCCCCUGACAGCUGUGAUGUGUGAGUGCCCACGGACACAGCAGGAGGCAGCCCCUCAGCUCAGCCU
rnacentral:lncRNA from 1 species